UGGGGAAUCUUAGACAAUGGGGGAACCCUGAUCUAGCCAUGCCGCGUGAGCGAUGAAGGCCUUAGGGUUGUAAAGCUCUUUCAGCUGGGAAGAUAAUGACGGUACCAGCAGAAGAAGCCCCGGCUAACUCCGUGCCAGCAGCCGCGGUAAUACGGAGGGGGCUAGCGUUGUUCGGAAUUACUGGGCGUAAAGCGCACGUAGGCGGAUUAGUCAGUCAGAGGUGAAAUCCCAGGGCUCAACCCUGGAACUGCCUUUGAUACUGCUAGUCUUGAGGUCGAGAGAGGUGAGUGGAAUUUCCCGAGUGUAGAGGUGAAAUUCGUAGAUAUUCGGAGGAACACCAGUGGCGAAGGCGGCUCACUGGCUCGAUACUGACGCU
rnacentral:rRNA from 1 species